rnacentral:tRNA from 1 species
GUAGACGUUAGCUCCGUGAUUAGAGCACAGGCCUCUGGCUCUCGGGUCCGCGAGUUCGAGUCCCGUCGUCUACU